rnacentral:rRNA from 1 species
UACGGAGGGUGCGAGCGUUAAUCGGAAUUACUGGGCGUAAAGUGUGCGCAGGCGGCCGAGCAAGUCGAGUGUGAAAGCCCCGAGCUUAACUUGGGAACUGCGCUCGAAACUACUUGGCUAGAGUGUGGCAGAGGGAGGUGGAAUUCCACGUGUAGCGGUGAAAUGCGUAGAGAUGUGGAGGAACACCGAUGGCGAAGGGCAGCCUCCUGGGCCACACUGACGCUCAUGCAC